rnacentral:rRNA from 1 species
UUUAGCCUAAUAAGGCACAAAUUAGCCCUCUUACUAGACUAAAAGAUAUUCGAUUGGGGUACAGCCCUAUCGAAAAAGGAUACAACCCAAACUAGCGAGCCAGAAACUUUCUCCCUCCCCAGUGGGCCUUAAAGCCGCCACCAAUAAAUAAAGCGUCACAGCACACUACUAUAAAUAAUAAAAGUUCGACCAGGCCCCUAGUACACCACCGAGCCACACUAUUUAAUAGUGGCCCUAAUGCUAAAACUAGUAACAAGAAAGCUUCUCUACGCACUUCCGUGCCCCAGAAAUAAAAAACCUACUGGACAUUAACAGACCAAAAUAGGAACACAAACACUGUCAAACCAACACCGGAGCGCCAUAAAGAAGGUUAAAAAUUAUAUAAGGAACUCAGCAAACCCCCUGCCCCAACUGUUUACCAAAAACACAGCCUUUAGCUAAACAAGUAUUAAAGGUGCUGCCUGCCCAGUGAAAUAUUUUAAACGGCCGCGGUAUCCUAACCGUGCAAAGGUAGCGUAAUCACUUGUCUUCUAAAUAAAGACUCGUAUGAAAGGCUAAAUGAGGGCGGACCUGUCUCUUAUAACCGACCAGUAAAACUGAUCUCCAAGUUCAAAAGCUUGGAUAAACACAUAAGACGAGAAGACCCGUGGAGCUUAAAACUUAACACUAUAACCAAACCCGAUAAUAGUGCAGGUUUUAAGUUGGGGCGACUUCGGAACAAAAUAAAACUUCCGAGCACAGAGCCACAAAGCUCACACUUAGACCAACAAGUCAAGAAAGCACCGACCCAGUCUUACUGAAUAACGAACCAAGUUACCCCAGGGAUAACAGCGCCAUCUUCUUCAAGAGUCCAUAUCGACAAGAAGGUUUACGACCUCGAUGUUGGAUCAGGACACCCAAAUGGUGCAGCAGCUAUUAAAGGUUCGUUUGUC